AUGAACGCUGGCGGCGUGCCUAAUACAUGCAAGUCGAGCGAACGGACGAGAAGCUUGCUUCUCUGAUGUUAGCGGCGGACGGGUGAGUAACACGUGGAUAACCUACCUAUAAGGCUGGGAUAACUUCGGGAAACCGUAGCUAAUACCGGAUAAUAUUUUGAACCGCAUGGUUCAAAAGUGAAAGACGGUCUUGCUGUCACUUAUAGAUGGAUCCGCGCUGCAUUAGCUAGUUGGUAAGGUAACGGCUUACCAAGGCAACGAUGCAUAGCCGACCUGAGAGGGUGAUCAGCCACACUGGAACUGAGACACGGUCCAGACUCCUACGGGAGGCAGCAGUAGGGAAUCUUCCGCAAUGGGCGAAAGCCUGACGGAGCAACGCCGCGUGAGUGAUGAAGGUCUUCGGAUCGUAAAACUCUGUUAUUAGGGAAGAACAUAUGUGUAAGUAACUGUGCACAUCUUGACGGUACCUAAUCAGAAAGCCACGGCUAACUACGUG
rnacentral:rRNA from 1 species